GUGAGGAAUUUUGCGCAAUGGGGGAAACCCUGACGCAGCAACGCCGCGUGAGUGAUGAAGGCUUUCGGGUCGUAAAGCUCUGUCAAGUGAGAAGAAACUGUUUGAUGCCAAUACCAUCAAGCACUGACGGUACCACUGAAGGAAGCACCGGCUAACUCCGUGCCAGCAGCCGCGGUAAUACGGAGGGUGCAAGCGUUAUUCGGAAUUAUUGGGCGUAAAGGGCGCGCAGGCGGCCUGCUAAGUCAAAUGUGAAAGCCCGAGGCUUAACCUCGGAAGGGCAUAUGAUACUGGCAGGCUUGAGUAUGGGAGAGGGAAGUGGAAUUCCUGGUGUAGCGGUGAAAUGCGUAGAUAUCAGGAGGAACACCGGUGGCGAAGGCGACUUCCUGGACCAAUACUGACGCUGAGGCGCGAAGGCGUGGGGAGCA
rnacentral:rRNA from 1 species